rnacentral:lncRNA from 1 species
GGAGGAGUUUGACUUCUCCUCGGGGUGUUUUUCGACUCCGAUUAGGAGCCGGUCGGGAGGAAGAAGAAGACUCUCGGGAGUCUUUUUCAUUUUUUUUUGUUGGGCUUUGUAGGCCUUUGGGCUGGGUUUAAGGCCCAAAUAGGCCGGGUAUUACAUCAUUCGAUCAAACUUAAGGAGCAAUCUAAGUAACCAAGAAGUUAUUUGGGUUUGGUACUUAACAAACUGAAUGGAAGGACUGUAUGACCUAGUAGCCAGUAAAAAGGUUGAGAGAAUACCAAUGUCACACCGAUCUAUCAUAUAUGGUGAACUAUCCUAUUGACCUAACCAAAG